CUUCCAGGUGGCGUAGCCUUUGAUCCAGCUAUGCCGCGUGAGUAAUGAAGGCCCUAGGGUUGUAAAGCUCUUUCAACGGUGAAGAUAAUGACGGUAACCGUAGAAGAUGCCCCGGUUAACUUCGUGCCAGCAGCCGCGGUAAUACGAAGGGGGCUAGCGUUGUUCGGAAUAACUGGGCGUAAAGCGCACGUAGGCGGAAUGUUAAGUGAGGGGUGAAAUCCCAGGGCUCAACCCUGGAACUGCCUUUCAUACUGGCAAUCUAGAGAUCGAGAGAGGUGAGUGGAAUUCCGAGUGUAGAGGUGAAAUUCGUAGAUAUUCGGAGGAACACCAGUGGCGAAGGCGGCUCACUGGCUCGAUACUGACGCUGAGGUGCGAAAGCGUGGGGAGCAAACAGGAUUAGAUACCCUGGUAGUCCACGCCGUAAACGAUGGAAGCUAGCUGUCGGGCAGUUUAUUGUUCGGUGGCGCCGCUAACGAUUAAGCUCCCCGCCUGGGGAGUACGGCCGCAAGAUUAAAACUCAAAGAAUUGACGGGGGCCCGCACAAGCGGGGGAGCAUGUGGUUUAAUCGAAGCAACGCGAAAACCUUACGGCCCUUGACUCCCGAUCCGUUUCCAGAGUGGAAUCCUUCAUUAGCGGAUCGUGCAGGUCCUCAUGGUUUCGUCCGCUCCGUGUGUGAGUGUCGGUAAGUCCGCACAGGGCAACCUUACCUUAGUUGCAGCAUUAGUGGCCCUCAGGGAUCUCCGGGAAAGCCGAGAGGUGGAUGACUCAGCCUCAGCCUUAGCUGGCUAACCGGCUAAUGGGGGACGUGCAGAGUCGAGUCACAAUCCCAAGCUCUAGUCGAUGUCUGCAUCGGACUGAGUGAUCCUAGAUCGAACGCUCUCGGAACGUCCGGCUGCCACCGCGCACUGGAUUGUUUC
rnacentral:rRNA from 1 species